rnacentral:rRNA from 1 species
GUGGGGAAUAUUGGACAAUGGGGGGAACCCUGAUCCAGCCAUGCCGCGUGUGUGAAGAAGGCCUUUUGGUUGUAAAGCACUUUAAGCGAGGAGGAGGCUACCGAGAUUAAUACUCUUGGAUAGUGGACGUUACUCGCAGAAUAAGCACCGGCUAACUCUGUGCCAGCAGCCGCGGUAAUACAGAGGGUGCAAGCGUUAAUCGGAUUUACUGGGCGUAAAGCGCGCGUAGGUGGCCAAUUAAGUCAAAUGUGAAAUCCCCGAGCUUAACUUGGGAAUUGCAGUCGAUACUGGUUGGCUAGAGUAUGGGAGAGGAUGGUAGAAUUCCAGGUGUAGCGGUGAAAUGCGUAGAGAUCUGGUGGAAUACCGAUGGCGAAGGCAGCCAUCUGGCCUAAUACUGACACUGAGGUGCGAAAGCAUGGGGAGCAAACAGGAUUAGAUACCCGUGUAGUCC